rnacentral:rRNA from 1 species
AUACGGAGGGUGCGAACGUUAAUCGGAAUUACUGGGCGUAAAGCGCGCGUAGGCGGUUCGGUAAGUGGGAUGUGAAAGCCCCGGGCUCAACCUGGGAAUUGCAUUCCAAACUGCCGGACUAGAGUAUGGUAGAGGGAGGUAGAAUUUCCUGUGUAGCGGUGAAAUGCGUAGAUAUAGGAAGGAAUACCGGUGGCGAAGGCGGCCUCCUGGACCAAUACUGACGCUGAGGUGCGAAAGCGUGGGGAGCAAACAGGAUUAGAAACCCCGGUAGUCC